CAGAAGCUUUCAGCUAAAAUACCAAUGUGUUAUUUUGGAGAGAGAACACAUGAACUCUGAGCAUUCACAAAUUGCCUAAGCAUGAACCAGUUUAUCAAGUCAUUUAAGUUGAGAGAAAGGUCCUCAAGGAAGGAAUUACAAAAUUGUGCUUUUUAUGGGACGUCGUGAGAAGGCUCAGGGAAGUUAUGAGGGUAAGAUUAGUGGAAGGAAGAAAAAUCUGAAGACACUUGGGAAGGCGUGCCCAGGAGCAAGGCAAGGGUCACAGUCACAUUCACAGAACCUCAUUAGGGUGGAUCCACAGGACAUACUUCCCACUGCUCGCAGAAGUAUUACCACCCUUUGGAAUAAUCAAUCAAUCAAACCAACUCAACAAUCUUUCUUUUAAUGCUAGUGGCACAUAUUGACAUAAAAAUAAAAUUUUGCUUCCUG
rnacentral:lncRNA from 10 species